rnacentral:ncRNA from 1 species
GUGUUCGUAGAAAGGAGAGAUGGUUGGCAUCUCCCCCGACAGGGACGGGAACAGCCUUCGGGCUUUACCUGUUAACAGACACAUCCGGUUAAGGCUACCCACCUCAGGUGGAUCUCACCCAAUUUUUUU